rnacentral:lncRNA from 10 species
CAAAGGAGCGAUCCUGAAACACCCUCCAGACGCCACUACAUGCAAAGCUCGUUGUGCUUCAAUAAAGGCCCCGGCAGCAUCCAUCAGGAGAUCUCUGAACAGCCUCAGGGCAGAGCUGGAGGUCAUUAGUGCCACCUGGCUCAUCCCAUAUCCCUUUUGGAAGGCUGAUCUCCAAGCAAAGGUCUUCAUGACUGCUGCAGAACAUGGAUUCACUUGCUUAUUCUAUCAACAAGCAGAUCCAUCAAGUCAUCUGGUUCAUGCGUCUCAUCUGUGUGGUGGCUGUGAAGGACGCCCCUGGAACCUUCCCACC